AGAGUUUGAUCCUGGCUCAGGAUGAACGCUGGCGGCGUGCUUAGCACAUGCAAGUCGAACGCACCUUCGGGUGAGUGGCGGACGGGUGAGUAACGCGUGGGAAUCUGCCCUUAGGAGGGGGAUAACGGCUGGAAACGGCCGCUAAUACCCCAUAUGCCGAGAGGUGAAACGAAUUUCGCCUGAGGAUGAGCCCGCGUCUGAUUAGCUAGUUGGUGGGGUAAGAGCCCACCAAGGCGACGAUCAGUAGCUGGUCUGAGAGGAUGAUCAGCCACACUGGGACUGAGACACGGCCCAGACUCCUACGGGAGGCAGCAGUGGGGAAUUUUCCGCAAUGGGCGAAAGCCUGACGGAGCAACGCCGCGUGAGGGAUGAAGGCCUCUGGGCUGUAAACCUCUUUUCUCAAGGAAGAAGACAUGACGGUACUUGAGGAAUAAGCCACGGCUAAUCCCGUGCCAGCAGCCGCGGUAAUACGGGAGUGGCAAGCGUUAUCCGGAAUUAUUGGGCGUAAAGCGUCCGCAGGCGGCUCUGUAAGUCUGUUGUUAAAGCGUGGAGCUCAACUCCAUUUCAGCAAUGGAAACUACAGGGCUUGAGUGUGGUAGGGGCAGAGGGAAUUCCCGGUGUAGCGGUGAAAUGCGUAGAUAUCGGGAAGAACACCAGUGGCGAAGGCGCUCUGCUGGGCCAUAACUGACGCUCAUGGACGAAAGCCAGGGGAGCGAAAGGGAUUAGAUACCCCUGUAGUCCUGGCCGUAAACGAUGAACACUAGGUGUCGGGGGAAUCGACCCCCUCGGUGUCGUAGCCAACGCGUUAAGUGUUCCGCCUGGGGAGUACGCACGCAAGUGUGAAACUCAAAGGAAUUGACGGGGGCCCGCACAAGCGGUGGAGUAUGUGGUUUAAUUCGAUGCAACGCGAAGAACCUUACCAGGGUUUGACAUCCUGCGAAUCCCUUGGAAACUUGGGAGUGCCUUCGGGAGCGCAGAGACAGGUGGUGCAUGGCUGUCGUCAGCUCGUGUCGUGAGAUGUUGGGUUAAGUCCCGCAACGAGCGCAACCCACGUCUUUAGUUGCCAGCAUUCAGUUGGGCACUCUAAAGAGACCGCCGGUGAUAAACCGGAGGAAGGUGUGGAUGACGUCAAGUCAUCAUGCCCCUUACAUCCUGGGCUACACACGUACUACAAUGCUACGGACAGAGGGCAGCAAGCUCGCGGGAGUUAGCAAAUCCCAUAAACCGUGGCUCAGUUCAGAUCGUAGGCUGCAACUCGCCUACGUGAAGGAGGAAUCGCUAGUAAUCGCAGGUCAGCAUACUGCGGUGAAUACGUUCCCGGGCCUUGUACACACCGCCCGUCACACCAUGGAAGUUGGCCAUGCCCGAAG
rnacentral:rRNA from 1 species